rnacentral:rRNA from 1 species
UGGCUCAGAUUGAACGCUGGCGGCAGGCUUAACACAUGCAAGUCGAGCGGUAACAGGGGAGCUUGCUCCUGCUGACGAGCGGCGGACGGGUGAGUAACGCGUAGGAAUCUGCCUAGUAGAGGGGGACAACAUGUGGAAACGCAUGCUAAUACCGCAUACGCCCUAAGGGGGAAAGGAGGGGACUCUUCGGAGCCUUCCGCUAUUAGAUGAGCCUGCGUGAGAUUAGCUAGUUGGUAGGGUAAAGGCCUACCAAGGCGACGAUCUCUAACUGGUCUGAGAGGAUGACCAGUCACACUGGGACUGAGACACGGCCCAGACUCCUACGGGAGGCAGCAGUGGGGAAUAUUGGACAAUGGGCGCAAGCCUGAUCCAGCCAUGCCGCGUGUGUGAAGAAGGCCUUAGGGUUGUAAAGCACUUUCAGGGGUGAGGAAGGGUGAUAGCUUAAUACGUUAUCAUCUUGACGUUAGCCCCAGAAGAAGC